rnacentral:rRNA from 1 species
AACGACUCUCGGCAACGGAUAUCUCGGCUCUUGCAUCGAUGAAGAACGUAGCGAAAUGCGAUACUUGGUGUGAAUUGCAGAAUCCCGUGAACCAUCGAAUCUUUGAGCGCAAGUUACGCCUGAAGCCAUUAGGCCGAGGGCACGCCUGCCUGGGUGUCACA